UACGGAGGGUGCAAGCGUUAUCCGGAUUCACUGGGUUUAAAGGGUGCGUAGGUGGCUUUGUAAGUCAGUGGUGAAAGCCCGGAGCUCAACUCCGGAACUGCCAUUGAUACUGCUUAGCUUGAAUCAGGUAGAGGUGGAUGGAAUAUUACAUGUAGCGGUGAAAUGCUUAGAUAUGUAAUAGAACACCGAUUGCGAAGGCAGUUCACUAUGCCUGCAUUGACACUGAGGCACGAAAGCGUGGGGAUCAAACAGG
rnacentral:rRNA from 1 species